UACAGAGGGUGCAAGCGUUAAUCGGAAUUACUGGGCGUAAAGGGCGCGUAGGUGGAGAUGUAAGUUAGAUGUGAAACCCCUGGGCUUAACCUAGGGCUUGCAUGUGAGACUGCAUAUCUAGAGUGUUGUAGAGGUAAGUGGAAUUUCCGGUGUAGCGGUGAAAUGCGUAGAUAUCGGGAAGAACACCAGUGGCGAAGGCGACUUACUGGACAGAUACUGACACUGAGGCGCGAAAGCGUGGGAAGCAAACAGG
rnacentral:rRNA from 1 species